rnacentral:rRNA from 1 species
AUUGAACGCUGGCGGCAGGCCUAACACAUGCAAGUCGAACGAGUGGCGGACGGGUGAGUAAUGUCUGGGAAACUGCGUGAUGGAGGGGGAUAACUACUGGACACGGUAGCUAAUACCGCAUAACAUCAGAUGUGCCCAGAUGGGAUUAGCUAGUUGGUGGGGUAACGGCUCACCAAGGCGACGAUCCCUAGCUGGUCUGAGAGGAUGCCCAGCCACACUGGAACUGAGACACGGUCCAGACUCCUACGGGAGGCAGCAGUGGGGAAUAUUGCACAAUGGGCGCAAGCCUGAUGCAGCCAUGCCGCGUGUAUGAAGAAGGCCUUCGGGUUGUAAAGUACUUUCAGCGGGGAGGCGGUACCCGCAGAAGAAGCACCGGCUAACUCCGUGCCAGCAGCCGCGGUAAUUC